CCGGAUUAAGAAACACACAGGUCAGGAUCAAAGAGCAGAUCAAGUCCUCCUCUGACACCAGCCACUGAAGAAGAGAGCUUGAUCCUUGUGCUGCCUUAGCAAAAUCCCUUGUUGGUCACUUUAGCACCACCUGAGCCUAAUUGUGCAGGUGCAGCCCUUUACUUCUGCACCGCCCAGCACAGGUGCAGCCUUUUACUUUUGCACCGCCCUACACAGCACACAAGAUUUAGUUGUGAGCUUGGGCAGUGUAGGAAUGAGUUUAAGUGAGAGUCUUCUGACAAACCAGCUUUUGGUUCUAACUAUAAAUUUUGAGUGUGAAGACUUCUAAAGCAGGCACUGUCUGCAUAAAUAUGCUGUUAAAUUGCAGAAGCACAACUUCUGAGAAGAUAAGUAGCAGAAAAGUAAAGUCAGUGAAGAGAAUUAAUUCUCUUCUACCUUCAACUGGGACAGUUUGCUAGCUCCAAUGAGUGUGGAACAAGCCCUUAUACUGGCUUCAUCAGUAAGGAUCCAAUGAUAGCUGGACAAGUCAGUAAGCCCUUGCUGUCACUGCGGAGUGAAAUGAAUGCAGAGUUGAGAGGUGAGGACAAGGCAGCUACUUCAGACAACGAGCUGAAUGAGCCCCUGCUUGCGCCUGUGGAAUCAAAUGACAGCGAGGACACUCCCAGCAAGCUCUUCGAGGCCAGAGGAAACACGGGGCUGCCUGACGCGAGCCCAGCAGACCAGCACCAACCCAGUCAGUCCCAUCCUGCAUUCCCUGUUGGGCCUCAGCCGCUACUGACAGCCCAACAGUUAGCCUCAGCAGUAGCAGGGGUGAUGCCAGGAGGCACUCCAGCCCUGAAUCAGCCGAUCCUUAUUCCUUUCAACAUGGCUGGGCAGCUGGGAGGCCAACAAGGACUCGUCCUAACUCUACCUACAGCAAAUCUCACCAACAUCCAAGGGCUGGUUGCAGCAGCUGCAGCAGGUGGCAUCAUGACUUUGCCACUGCAAAAUCUACAAGCUACCUCAUCACUGAACUCCCAACUUCAACAGCUUCAACAUCUUCAGCAGCUCCAGCAUCAACAGCAGCAGCAGCAGCAAGGUCAACAGCAGCAACAGCAGCAGCAAAGCCAGCAGCAGCAGCAAGGUCAGCAGACACAGACUCCACAACAAACCCAGCAGACCCAGCAGCCACAGCCACAGCCGUCAGCACCACCACAGCAGAGCCAAACACAGUCUCAGAGCCAGAGCCAACCACCUCCAGCCCCACAGUCCUCCAGCUCCCCUCAGAAACCCAGCCAGUCACCAGGGCAUGGCCUUCCAUCUCCUCUUACGUCACCAAAUCCAUUGCAGCUGGUUAAUAAUCCAUUAGCAAGUCAAGCAGCAGCGGCUGCAGCAGCAGCAGCCAUGGGCUCAAUAGCAAGCUCCCAGGCCUUUGGCAAUGCCCUCUCCAGUCUUCAAGGGGUCACAGGUCAACUCGUUACUAAUGCACAAGGACAGAUGAAUGUACAGUUUGCAGGACUAUGUAGGAAAAGACCACUGAGCCCACAGAUGAUUAUUGGAACUAUCCCACUGAUGCCUAAUCCAGUCCCCUCCAGCCAGACGGCAGGUGGAGCUCAGGGACUUCAGGUGCAGCCGAUAACUCCGCAGUUAUUGACCAAUGCCCAGGGUCAGAUCAUCGCUACCGUCAUCGGCAACCAGAUACUCCCAGUGAUCAAUACCCAGGGAAUCACGCUAUCGCCGCUCAAACCAGGCCAGCAGCUCCAUCAGCCCUCCCAGACGCAAGUGGGACAAGCAACCUCACAGUCCAAUCUCCUGCAUUUGGCUCACAGUCAAGCAUCUAUGUCUCAAAGCCCAGUGCGUCAGGCUUCCUCUUCUUCCUCCUCAUCCUCCUCCUCUUCAGCUUUGAGUGUUGGCCAGUUAGUCAGCAAUCCUCAGACAGCCACUGGAGAGGUGGAUGGGGUGAACUUGGAAGAAAUCCGAGAAUUUGCCAAAGCUUUUAAAAUCCGGCGCCUGUCCCUUGGCCUGACACAGACUCAAGUUGGCCAAGCCCUAAGCGCCACGGAAGGCCCAGCCUAUAGCCAGUCUGCCAUCUGCAGACACACCAUCCUGAGAAGCCACUUUUUCCUACCACAGGAAGCCCAAGAGAACACUAUAGCUAGCAGUCUGACAGCCAAACUGAACCCUGGCCUUUUGUAUCCUGCCAGGUUUGAAAAGCUGGACAUCACCCCUAAAAGUGCCCAGAAGAUAAAGCCGGUGCUUGAGCGGUGGAUGGCUGAGGCUGAGGCCCGCCAUCGAGCAGGUAUGCAGAACCUUACCGAGUUUAUCGGAAGCGAACCAUCCAAAAAGCGCAAGCGGCGUACCUCAUUCACGCCACAGGCCCUUGAAAUCUUGAAUGCCCACUUUGAGAAGAACACGCACCCCUCUGGGCAAGAAAUGACAGAGAUCGCAGAGAAACUGAACUAUGACCGGGAAGUAGUUAGAGUUUGGUUCUGCAAUAAGAGGCAAGCACUGAAGAACACAAUUAAACGUUUGAAACAGCACGAGCCUGCGACGGCAGUUCCUAUGGAGCCUUUAACAGACUCUCUGGAAGAAAACUCCUAAACAAAACAAAGAAACAAAACAAGACAAAAACCAAACUACACACACAAAAAACCAACCAAACAAAACCAACCACCAAACCAAACCCAGCACCAACAGAAUCGUAACCGUUGGAACUCUGUGAAAAUAACCUGUUCACCACCCUUGUAAGUAAAAGACUGAGAAAACUACAAGAAGGACAGAGCAGUUUAUAAAUGUCCGUGGGUUUUCCUACUAAAAACACAACAGAAAAAGAAACAAAAAAUACACAACACUUUGUGUGUGUCGUAGAAUUAGUUACUCCCUACCCCAAAAAGAAAACAAAAACAAAACAAACAAAUAAAAAGACAAAGCCAGUGUUUUUUUUAAUGGACUUAAAGUAAACCAAAUAACUGCUUACUUUUUUUCUGUAUAUUAUGAAAAUGUGAACACGUUUUAAGGAAAAAACAAAACAAAAAAAGGAACAAAAAAAAAAAAGAAUAAAAAAUUACUUUUAUCUGUUUAAAAGCGAAUACAAGCCUGCCACCUGGAGGAGUGAUUGUAGCCUUUCAGGUAUCAAGUGCUGAUUCACUAUGAAAACUAUUAACCAAAGUCAGAAACAUGGCAUUGCAAACUAGAUUGUUAGUCUACUCUUUUCUGAGUGUAAAGCUGUGUUACGGAUUUUUAACAUUUGUAUUUUGCAACGAGGAGAAACAACAGGAUCCAUUGCUCUCGCCCUUGCUUGCACUCCCCCCCUGCGGGAGUGCACAGACAGCUAUUUUGGACAGUUGAAGAAAAUCAAAUGCAUUCAAAUGGUUCCAGUUUCUUUACAUUAUUACUGAAAAAAAAAAAAAAAAGAAAGAAAAAAAAAAAGAAAGAAAAAGUGGGAAGAAAAAAAAAAGAAUAAAGAGAGAACAAGAAAGCAAAAAGGAGCUAGGAAGGAACAAGUAGAGGCGUAUCAAAGAACUCAAGCUAUAACCAAAAAGAAAUAUGUAAAAUGCCUUUGCUCGUCUUCUCAAUGCUGGACCAAAGCUCAAUGUAUGUAGGUAUAUGCACAUUGUAUAGAUAUGGCUAAAUGUUGCUGACAAUCUCGCAAUACUAAACUGUUAUAAUUUAAAGAAAAAAAAAAACAAGAAAAAAAAGAAAAAAAAAGAAAAAUAGAAAUACAAAAAAUAAAACUGUUCAUCAGUGUUUUACCUCAGCACUCUACUUGUACCCAGUUAUUGACCAACAUUCAAAUAAGAAGAUAUGAGAGGAAAUUGAUUUCCCUGUCAAUGUUUGACUGUAAAAUCUGUUUGGAAAACAUUUUGUAAUGAGCUUUUUGUCACGUGGUUUGCUUGUUUCCAACUUGAGAUUAUGUGGGGCACAUUUGUUUAUUUAUUGUUAAAAGGUGAUAUUAUUAUUAAUUAUUAUUAUUAUUAUUAUUACUAUUAUUAUUAUUUUUGUCCUAUGUGCUAUAAUCUACAGAAUGGUCACCAGGGUCACUUAUGAAGCACUGCAAAGAGAUCUGUUUUUCCAUGCAUGGAGCAUGCAGCAGGAAAGAUGGCAGUACAAAAUGGACUGUUUGUGGUGUUCGAAAAUACAAAUCAUUACACAAGGAGUUGAUGUGGUGGACUUGUGACCGAGAAACCAAACUGGAUAUUUAUAAGCUCCUUACUACUCUGACUUUGAAACCAAAGCUGAUUUAUCUGCACAGGUUGCUUAACAUGAUAAAAAUAAUUUUAAGAAAAAUUAAAAACUGACAAAAAACUGUACUUAAUCUAGAGCAAUAUCUGUAUGGUCAGUAAAGCUGCACUUUGUGUAUUUCUUAACAGCUUCAGAUCUGUCACUUUUAAUUUGUACCAUAAAAAAUAAAGAAUUGUUUGACAUGAAAAAUAA